GAUGAACGCUGGCGGCGUGCCUAAUACAUGCAAGUCGAGCGAACAGACGAGGAGCUUGCUCCUCUGACGUUAGCGGCGGACGGGUGAGUAACACGUGGAUAACCUACCUAUAAGACUGGGAUAUUUUCGGGAAACCGGAGCUAAUACCGGAUAAUAUAUUGCACCGCAUGGUUCAAUAGUGAAUGACGGUUUUGCUGUCACUUAUAGAUGGAUCCGCGCCGCAUUAGCUAGUUGGUAAGGUAACGGCUUACCAAGGCGACGAUGCGUAGCCGACCUGAGAGGGUGAUCGCCCGCACUGGAACUGAAACGCCGUCCAGACUACUGCGAGAGGCAGCAGUCGCGAAUCGUCCGCAGUGGGCGAAAGCCUGACAGAACAGCGCCACGUGAGUGAUGAAGGUCUUCGGAUCGUAAAACUCUGUUAUUAGGGAAGAACAAAUGUGUAAGUAACUAUGCACGUCUUGACGGUACCUAAUCAGAAAGCCACGGCUAACUACGUG
rnacentral:rRNA from 1 species